rnacentral:rRNA from 1 species
GACGAACGCUGGCGGCGGGCUUAACACAUGCAAGUCGAACGACGUGGCGAACGGGUGAGUAAUACGUGGGUAACCUGCCCCCCUUUUGGGGAUAAGCUUUGGAAACGGGGUCUAAUACCGAAUAACGGGGGUUGGGUGCGGGGCCUAUCAGCUUGGUGGGGGGGGGAUGGCCUAACAAGGCGGUGACGGGUAGCACGCCUGAGAGGGUGCACGGCAACAGUGGGACUGGGAUGCGGCCCAGAAUGCUACGGGGGGCGGCAGUUGGGGCUAUUGCACAAUGGGCGAAAGACUGAUGCAGCGACGCUGCGUGGGGGAUGAGGGUUUUAGGGUUGUAAACCUCUUUCGCUAUCGAACGGGUAGGUGGAGAAGAAGCGCCGGCUAACUACGUGCCAGCAGCCGCGGUAAUAC